GACAAAGUGACAGGUGGUGCAUGGUUGUCGUCAGCUCGUGUCGUGAGAUGUUGGGUUAAGUCCCGCAACGAGCGCAACCCUUAAGCUUAGUUGCCAUCAUUAAGUUGGGCACUCUAGGUUGACUGCCGGUGACAAACCGGAGGAAGGUGGGGAUGACGUCAAAUCAUCAUGCCCCUUAUGAUUUGGGCUACACACGUGCUACAAUGGACAAUACAAAGGGCAGCUAAACCGCGAGGUCAUGCAAAUCCCAUAAAGUUGUUCUCAGUUCGGAUUGUAGUCUGCAACUCGACUACAUGAAGCUGGAAUCGCUAGUAAUCGUAGAUCAGCAUGCUACGGUGAAUACGUUCCCGGGUCUUGUACACACCGCCCGUCACACCACGAGAGUUUGUAACACCCGAAGCCGGUGGAGUAACCAUUUAUGGAGCUAGCCGUCGAAGGUGGGACAAAUGAUUGGGGUGAAGUCGUAACAAGGUAGCCGUAUCGGAAGGUGCGGCUGGAUCACCUC
rnacentral:rRNA from 1 species